GACGAACGCUGGCGGCGUGCUUAACACAUGCAAGUCGAACGGAAAGGCCCUGCUUUUGUGGGGUGCUCGAGUGGCGAACGGGUGAGUAACACGUGAGUAACCUGCCCUUGACUUUGGGAUAACUUCAGGAAACUGGGGCUAAUACCGGAUAGGAGCUCCUGCUGCAUGGUGGGGGUUGGAAAGUUUCGGCGGUUGGGGAUGGACUCGCGGGUUAUCAGCUGGUUGGUGGGGUAGUGGCUUACCAAGGCUUUGACGGGUAGCCGGCCUGAGAGGGUGACCGGCCACAUUGGGACUGAGAGACGGCCCAGACGCCUACGGGAGGCAGCAGUGGGGAAUAUUGCACAAUGGGCGGAAGCCUGAUGCAGCAACGCCGCGUGCGGGAUGACGGCCUUCGGGGUGUAAACCGCUUUCGCCUGUGACGAAGCGUGAGUGACGGUAAUGGGUAAAGAAGCACCGGCUAACUACGUG
rnacentral:rRNA from 1 species